ACAUCCCUAUCAGUGAAUCUACCCCAGUGAGUGCCUUAGCUCACCUCCUUAGCCUGGUAGCCUGAGAAUCCAUUCCCACAAAUGUUCAAAUAGGAUUAAUCUGUUAGAUACCAGUUACAUCUGAGAACUUUUAUUGACACGUGAGCUAUUUCCUCAUGGUUCAGACUUAGCCGUGGGGCAUACUGUGACUGCACCCUACGUAUGGGCUGAAUGGCAAGCGGGAUGUUGCACAGGAUCUCAAGGACAAUAUGAAUUGCAUUACAAGGGACCAAGCCCACACGGGAUAAUGACACAUUCCUCUAGCGAUGGGACACCAGUCCCUUAGACACGGGGCAGCUACUUGAACCACUAUGGGGGUGCUCAGAGGGGCUGAUGGCAUCCCGACUCUCAGCUUCGACUGAGGCCGAGCAGACGUCCCAGUUCCAGGUUUCCGGGCCACACUCCUCCAACCACGGCCAUACCUUUCACACGAGAAACACAGAGAGGCUGGGAAUUCAGUGGACUUUGGGAUUCUGUAACCCGCACCGAUAAACUUGUGUUUAAUCUUCACCACGAGGAACCCUUGCAGGUACGGAAGGAAGGGAAUUUUUAGGGCUGUCGGGGGGAGUUCUGUGCGUGUCGUGCUGUGACUGGAGCUGAGAGGUAAGGAACUAAAGUUGCCAUUGUUUUCUCUGCGCGCUCCGGGAUCACCACACCACAAUCUUCAGAGCCGUCCUUACCGCCGUGACAGUACAGCAGCCACGCCGGCUCCUCAGGGCUUCCCGCAGGUGGCCCUUCAUCCCGGUUCACUGCGGGUGACAGCCUGAUGAAGGAAGAGGUCCCCGCAGACCGCGGGUGCUACGUACGCGCCCAGUUCCCAUUGGCAGGGAGCCCGAGCCCUGCCCUGGGGCCCAAGGGCGCGACCACACCCAUCCCCACAUCCCCACUUGGCGGGCCCCUCUUCUGAGACCACUCCCAGGUCCGACUCUGUAGCAGUCGGGCAGGAGAAGGAGACGAGAAAUAGACACGGUUUCUCAGCAGACGAAAUCGAAUACGAGCAUUUGGUGGCUCAGGGCCCGGAGGGCUGAAGAAACAGAUCGUGUGGCAGAAAGCUGCCGUCCCUAAGGUGAGGGGAAGCGGGAAGAGGUCGGGCUGAGCAGACACCUAGACGCCAGGAUGAGGGGCCUGGAAGAGGCAGAGCCUGGAUCUCUGAGGAGGGGCUGCCACAAUUUCUCAGGGAAGGCGGAAGCAACCUUAUCCACCACGAGGGGAUAUGGGGCAGGAGAUGAUUUCUGAGGACCAUCUUCCAGGAACCUCUGUGUGCCCAACGCGGGGCUGGAACUCGCAACCCCGAGACACAGAGUUGCGUGCUCUAGCCAUUGAAGACUUGGGGAGGUGGAGUAGCUUUCUAUCACAAUAACGCAAACAACGCGUAGAUAUCCACGAGCGCCGCUCUCUGAUCUCCUGAGAAAUCAAAGCCUCCAGGACAUGCUGAGUGUGCCACACGUUCCCCGGGGACCUCCAAGUGAGGGAGCGAGCCGCGCCGUAGAGCACAGCCCCACAGAAGGGGAUCUGGCUUGAGCCCGACGUCCUUGAUCCACACCCCGCCUGGGCCACUUGCCAGCUAGUGGUGCGGAAGAAGCCAUGAAUGGGGAUCACGCCUCGAACAGGCUGCUAGGGCUGCGGGAUGGCACAGCCGUGAAUGGGGAUCACGCCCGAGGCACACCGCAAGCUCGCAAUGCCAUGACCGCAAACGAUGUCCUCUGGCCUCUGAGAGUUGCACCCUGGGAAGGUCCACAGGGCCAGUCCUGUCUUCGACAGGCCUGCCGAUUCUCCACCAAGGUGGGCCGUGUCUUCAAGUCGAGGUUGCUGACGCGUGUCCCGCUGGGCCUCUGGGGGUCCUGGGCCGGAAGCCUGGGGUGAGCUACCCUUCCAGGGAGGGUGGAUGUGCUCGGCCGGCCCGGAGCCCAGCAGUACCACGACGAUGCAGGGGGAGCAGUUCCCCUCUCAGCCUGCAGCUAGGGGUGGGGGGAAGGCAGCCCCUCCCUGUUCGCGGCUGCUAGGACUGGAGUCAGGGGGGCGUUCGUCCCCGCUCCCUCAGACCCACUUCUCCUUAUAGCACCAUCCUGCCUUUGUCCCGCGGGGGGUCACCCUUCACCAACACGGGUUUUAGGUGGGGUCUCGGUUCUGCCCUCUGACCUUCUGAAAGCCAUUUGCUCCUGGCACCUGGGAACCCCACCCCGGGAGCUCCUCCCCACCCCGGGAGCUCCUCCCCACGGCCCUAGCGCAUCCCUGCUCACCCACCCCUGACUUUGCAUUUGCUCUGCGUCCUCUUCCCCGGGAUUUCUCUUGCUUACCCGCGCGCCACCUAUGCGUGUUUCUCAUUCCGUAUUCGCUGGUCUUUCUCCCAAACUGGACUGGCAUCCCUGGAGGGCAGGGGCUGGCUGUCAGAGUGGCACCGCCCCCAGCCCCCAGCCUAGGCAGCCCCGCAUCAUGUGACCGGCGCCCAGGGCCACAGCCAUUGGCCCAGCGGGUCAACCUACCAGCCCGGGUCACCGAGGACUUGGCAACAGGCUCAUCAAUGCCACCCCGAGUCUCCUUACUGUCAUCACACGUGGGAGGAGGCCUUCGUGCCCACUAUACGCAACCCAGAAGUCGCCAAUUGACAGUUUAAUACCCUUGGUGGUAUAAAAAUGUGUAACUUUGGGGCGCCUGGCUGGCUCAGUCUGUAGAGCAUGUGACUCCUGACCUCAGGGUUUGAAGUUGGAGCCCCAAGGGGGGGUGUGUAGAGAUGACUUAAAAACAAAAACUUUAGGGGCGCCUGGGUGGCUCAUUCGGGUAAGCCUCCGACUUGGGUUCAGGUCAUGAUCUCACGGUUUGUGAGUUCUAGCCCCACAUGGGGCUCUGUGCUGUCAGCAUAGAGUCUGGUUUGGAUCCUCUUGACUCCCUCUCUCUGCCCCUCCCCCACUCGCGUUCUCCCUCUCUCUCAAAAAUAAACAAACAUGGAAAAUGAUUAAAAAUUGGGGUGCCUGGGUGGCUCGGUCGGUGAAGCGACCGACUUCGGCUCAGGUCACCAUCUCACUCACGAUUCGUGGGUUCGACCCGUGUGGGGCUCUGGGCUGACAGCUCCGAGCGUGGAGCCUGCUUCAGAUUGUGUGUCUCCCUCUCUCUCUCUGCCCCUCCCCUGCUUGUUCUCUGUCUCUGUCUCUCAGAAAUAAAUCGCGUUAAAAUUUUUCAAGGAAAAUAAGUAAUUAAAAAUAAAAGUAAAAUAAAAACUUAAAAAAAAAAA